UACGGGGGGGCAAGCGUUGUUCGGAAUUACUGGGCGUAAAGGGCUCGUAGGUGGCCAACUAAGUCAGACGUGAAAUCCCUCGGCUUAACCGGGGAACUGCGUCUGAUACUGGAUGGCUUGAGUUUGGGAGAGGGACGCGGAAUUCCAGGUGUAGCGGUGAAAUGCGUAGAUAUCUGGAGGAACACCGGUGGCGAAGGCGGCGUCCUGGACCAAUACUGACACUGAGUGAGCGAAAGCCAGGGGAGCAAACGGG
rnacentral:rRNA from 1 species